CUGGUUUUCAUAAUGGUUUGAGA
rnacentral:miRNA from 10 species